GACGUAGGGUGCGAGCGUUGUCCGGAUUUAUUGGGCGUAAAGAGCUCGUAGGCGGCUCGUCGCGUCGACCGUGAAAACCCGCGGCUUAACUGCGGGCUUGCGGUUGAUACGGGCGGGCUAGAGUUCGGUAGGGGAGACUGGAAUUCCUGGUGUAGCGGUGAAAUGCGUAGAUAUCAGGAGGAAUACCGGUGGCGAAAGCGACUCUCUGGACGGCAACUGACGCUGAGGCACGAAAGCGUGGGGAGCAAACAGG
rnacentral:rRNA from 1 species